CGGGGUGCAGCAGGCGCGAAAACUUUACAAUGCGGGCAACCGUGAUAAGGGAACCUCGAGUGCCUGUAUAUGCAGGCUGUCCAGGUGUCUAAAACACACCUGAAGAAAGGGCCGGGCAAGACCGGUGCCAGCCGCCGCGGUAAUACA
rnacentral:rRNA from 1 species